AAAUCAUCUUUAUUGCACUAAAUGCUGUUUAACAAUUUACUUAGCUUACAGCAUUGGGCUAAGUUUCCCUGUGUAUUUAAAAUUAUUAUAUAUCCAGGGAGAAUAUAUAAUAAAAUAUAUAUAAAUGUUAGUAUUAUACAAUUAAACAUAAUACAUAAUAUAAAUAAACGUCAAUAUAAACUGAUUCAUUGAUUUUUUUGUCUGCUUACAAAUCGGAAAAAAUAACGGAUCUUCACCGUUACAUUUUGUGAUUAUUAUGUGUGUUUACUUUCUCACAGGAUACCUGUGUAAUUGGAAUUUACUUAUUCUUUUAUAAUUUGAAGGAUUUAUUUUUCAAACUUACAUGCUUGACCAUGUUAAUGGAAAUACAUAUAUAGUUUGCUGUAGUCCCUUAGAAUUGACUGUACAGAUGUGAAGUUUUGGAUCAGCCAUGAUUGUUAUUAUUAAAAGGAAAUAUAUGCUAUGGUUUACUGUAUGAGCUGCACUAUUUCUAUUUUCCAAUUUGGACUCGACUAUGCACAUCAUUUAAAUACGAAAUAUGAGCAUAUGUGUAGCUGCAUACGUGAUUCUGGAUUUGUACACCGGUUGUCAAUUUACUAUUCAUUUUUGGUGUACAAAAGUGUGUUCUUUGCAUAUCUGUGUACAGUAUUGAAAAGUGAUAUAUGUAAUUAUUUUGUGAUCUAAGAAGAAUCAUUUUAAGGCACAUCUGGAUCAAUUGGAGCUGUGGUGAGGAAAGUGCAAACUUUAAAUAAAGUAUGUAAUUCACCAGAGAUACUAAUUGUGGAAUGUAUGUGAACUUACUACUACAUGUAUAUAGAGUGGUACUUUGUUCAACUUUGCUGUGAAUGAGUUUUGUUACAAGUGUCAUCAUGAUCAUACAAAAAAUAAAUAUCACUGCACAUGUAUUACAGUAUAAUAUUAAAUUAGUGUUGCAUUUA